CUCGGAUGAAGUCUACCUGUAGUAGGAGUUCGGAGAAGAAGUCCAGCUCCCGUAAGAGCUCGGAUGAAAUUCAGAAGGCGGUCGACCGUCAUAGAAACUUGGAUGGAGUCCAUCCGUCGUGGAGAUCUACUGUUGGGAAAGUUCGGCCACUGACGAACUGAUGAAGUUCUGGAAGAAAUUCGAAUUGGAGUCGAUCGAAUCCUGUUUGAAA
rnacentral:lncRNA from 1 species